rnacentral:lncRNA from 1 species
GGGAUAUGGGAGGUGUGGGGUUGAAUAUCUAGGGCUGGGAGAAUCGGAAGGAUGAUUUGGGGAGGAAGACGGAGAAACAGCAAGGAUUAUAUUUUCCUUUGAAGAGUUGCUGGGACCUUUCCUAGGAGAACCGGAGCCUUACCAUCAAACUUCGGAAACGGAAGCCAGAGAAAAAGGUAGAAUGGACAAGUGACACUGUGGACAAUGAACACAUGGGCCGCCGCUCAUCCAAAUGCUGCUGUAUUUAUGAGAAACCUCGGGCCUUUGGCGAGAGCUCCACGGAAAGUGAUGAGGAGGAAGAAGAGGGCUGUGGUCAUACACACUGUGUACGUGGCCACCGCAAAGGACGGCGUCGUGCAACCCUAGGACCGACCCCCACCACCCCUCCCCAGCCUCCUGACCCUUCCCAGCCCCCUCCAGGGCCAAUGCAGCACUAAAUCCCUCUCUCCUCCAGCAUUCCUGUGUCUGUCUGGCCCUAAAUGUAUCCAUGUGGCUACUUCUCCAGCCCCCUCCUUCCCUCUCUUCUGCCUGAUAGAGGGAAGAGGAAGAGGAGGACGAACAGAGAUCCUGAAAUUCUGACUUGCUGCUAUUCCAGAACCCAGCCUCCUGGGUUUCCCCAGUCCUCAUUUUUCCUCCCAAUACCCACCCUUCUCUCUCGAGGGAUCUAGGCACCUUGGUCCCAGUGUCUUCCUUUUGUUCUCACUGCCAAACUGCCUGUCCUGGGAUCUAGUUAUCUUGGCCCUGCACUCUCAACAUGAGUAGCGAACACUUAAAUUGGGUUUUCAACAGUCCCAGCUUUCACUGCCAGGGUCCCAGUCAGAUUCCAGGAAUUUGCGCCCUAACUUUGCUUGCUAAUCCUGGUUUAGAGCUAUCCCACUAAAAUAUUUAAUCCUAAUUCUUAGUCCUUGCCUGUGAGAUAUGAGGUCUUACAGGAGACCUCAGAGCUCCCAGCCCUUCUCCUCCUGCUAACCCUUCUCACACCCUCAAGAGGAGUUAGAAAAGAGGUCCUUGUCAUUCUCACCUCUUAUGGAAAAUGGAAUAAGAAAUAAUCAUAUCCUUUCUUCCCACCCUUCUCCUGUUAUUUAGGAUUUCUGACAAAGCUGGCUUGAGAUUGGUCACUUAGAGCCGACUGUCUCCUCUGCCUUUUGUUUUUCAGCUUCAGAGACAGAUCCAAUAUAGUCCCAGGGACCUGGGUCUCUGGGAGAGGAAGGAAGAGGGAGGGAGCAAAGAGAUUGGGGUAUGUCCCCUGUAGUACACUCUUACCUCUUACUUCCUAGACUUUGAUUUCUCCGGCAGCCCAGAUGUUCAGUUCUCUUGGCCCCUCUCUACCCCUUACUGGGAUCCGGUUUUCAUUUUCCGGUCCUUUUGCCAUACACAGUUACAGAGAUCAGUCAAAUCCAUACCACCACUGAGAUCUCAUUUAUUGCCACAGAUGCACAAAAUAAAUAACCCAAAAUCACAAAA